rnacentral:rRNA from 1 species
UACGGAGGGGGCUAGCGUUGUCCGAAGUUACUGGGCGUAAAGCGCGCGUAGGCGGGUUGGUAAGUCCGCUGUGAAAGCCCGGAGCUUAACUCCGGAGGGUCGGUGGAUACUGCCAGUCUUGAAGGUGCUAGGGGGAGAUGGAAUUACCGGUGUAGCGGUGAAAUGCGUAGAGAUCGGGAAGAACAUCGGUGGCGAAAGCGCUCUGCUGGACUGCAACUGACACUCAGGGACGAAAGCUAGGGGAGCGAAUGGG